UGAGGACAGUGCCUCCAAUCGAAGCUCUAU
rnacentral:piRNA from 1 species